CAUAUCAAUAAGCGGAGGAAAAGAAACUAACAAGGAUUCCCCUAGUAACUGCGAGUGAAGCGGGAAAAGCUCAAAUUUAAAAUCUGGCGGUCUUCGGCUGUCCGAGUUGUAGUCUGGAGAAGCGUCUUCCGCGUCGGACCGUGUACAAGUCUCUUGGAACAGAGCGUCAUAGAGGGUGAGAAUCCCGUCUUUGACACGGACUACCGAUGCUUUGUGAUGCGCUCUCAAAGAGUCGAGUUGUUUGGGAAUGCAGCUCAAAAUGGGUGGUAAAUUCCAUCUAAAGCUAAAUAUUGGCGAGAGACCGAUAGCGAACAAGUACCGUGAGGGAAAGAUGAAAAGCACUUUGGAAAGAGAGUUAAACAGUACGUGAAAUUGCUGAAAGGGAAACGCUUGAAGUCAGUCGCGUCGUUCAGAACUCAACCUUGCCUUCGCGCUCGGUGCACUUUCUGUUUGACGGGCCAGCAUCAGUUUUGACCGUCGGAAAAAGGCCUGCGGAAUGUGGCACCUCCGGGUGUGUUAUAGCCGUGGGUCGUAUACGAUGGUUGGGACUGAGGACCGCAGCACGCCUUCUUGGCCGGGGCUCGCCCACGUACGUGCUUAGGAUGCUGGCGUAAUGGCUUUAAACGACCCGUCUUGAAACACGGACCAAGGAGUCUAACAUGCAUGCGAGUGUUUGGGUGGAAAACCCGAGCGCGCAACGAAAGUGAAAGUUGGGAUCCCUGUCGUGGGGAGCACCGACGCCCAUACCAGACCUUCUGUGACGGAUAUGCGGUCGAGCAUGUAUGUUGGGACCCGAAAGAUGGUGAACUAUGCCUGAAUAGGGUGAAGCCAGAGGAAACUCUGGUGGAGGCUCGUAGCGAUUCUGACGUGCAAAUCGAUCGUCAAAUUUGGGGUAUAGGGGCGAAAGACUAAUCGAACCAUCUAGUAGCUGGUU
rnacentral:rRNA from 1 species